UGUUGUAUAAGAGGAUAGCACACACCAUUAUGAACGGAGUAAAGAACUAAAAUCACAGGACACUACAUACAGACGAAGUAUCAUGCUUUUGUGGAAGUUCCAGGGUAGCCCACAAGCAGAUCCAAAGGUAUCCCUGAAACUGAAAGACGUUGCAGAGCUCACUGUGACCAAACAGAAGAGAAAAGAAGGACAAAGACGUGGUAAAACUAUCUGAGAUGGUGAGAAUGAGCAAAAACAACAGGGAGGAGAAGCGGCGCAGCCUAGACAAGUGGACCCUGACCCAGGAGGCCUAGGAGAAAAUGCAGGAGAAGCAGCAAAUGGAAAGGUUCCAGGAGGAAGCAUCCACCAUGCACCAGCAGAGUGUGGAGGACUUCAACACACAGCUGGAUACACUCAGGGAGCGUAUCCAAGUCAUUUGAUGGCAACAGUGCUCAAAGGGAAGGAAGAUAAUUAAAAUGGAAGACAGAGCCAUCAAAAACCAUGUGGAGGAAAGUCACUACAUGAGCCUAGACUGAAAGAAUGUACACAGGCAGAUAUAAAUGCCUAUUUCAUUUAACGUAUUUUGCUUAGGAUCUCCUUGUUAUAAAACCUUGGCUUUUGGUCAAAUAACACAGACCAGUAAGAAAUGAGGUUGGAAGAUGGGAAUAUUUAGGAGCAGUAGGAAUGGCUCUCCUGACACCAGUUCUUGAACUAUAAAUGUGUUUGGAUUCCCAGAGGUUUUUACACUCUACUAACAUUUAUGAUUUGUGAGAGGUAAGCCUUUCUUUUGUAAGUUGGAAAAAAAGACUGUUUGUGAAGGGGAGAGGAGAAUGGCCAUAACUGCAAUCAUCUCUCUAG
rnacentral:lncRNA from 1 species